AGAAGUUAGGGGUUGCAGCGGCGCUGGCUUUAGGUGAACGACGUGAAAAUUACUUUUCCCACUAAAAUACACCAAGUAUAUGCCCAGCCUUCAUGAAAGUGAACAGAGAAACAAAGCGCCUUUAUGUGGGUGGCCUUAGCCAGGACAUUUCUGAGGCAGACCUACAAAAUCAGUUCAGCAGAUUUGGAGAAGUUUCGGAUGUGGAGAUCAUCACACGGAAAGAUGACCAAGGAAACCCACAGAAAGUUUUUGCAUAUAUCAACAUCAAUGUAGCAGAAGCGGACCUGAAAAAAUGUAAGAUCAUCAUAUAUUUUCUAUACUAUUUGCCAUUUUAUAUCACUCUGUAACUUGGAAUAACUUUGGUUCUAAAUCUAAACCUCCACAGCCAUUUUUUACGUUAUCCAGAGGGACAGCAGUGAUCAAGAGAAUUCCAGUAUCGUAUAACUCAGCAGGUUUAGGUCCAUUCCAUUUGGCAUCAGCGGACAUGGUAGCACUUUGCUGGUGGGUUUACUUAAAACUGCUAUUCUCAAAUAUUUUGGACAAGGGACCAGACUUUCAUAGAAACUGCCUGUUACGUAUAUCCCACUGAAUAUUAUGCCA
rnacentral:sRNA from 1 species